ACUCAAAGGAAUAGACGGGGACCCGCACAAGCGGUGGAGCAUGUGGUUCAAUUCGACGCAACGCGAAAAACCUUACCUGGGUUUGACAUGUCGGUGGUAGUGAACCGAAAGGGGAGCGACCCCGCAAGGGGAGCCGACACAGGUGCUGCAUGGCUGUCGUCAGCUCGUGUCGUGAGAUGUUGGGUUAAGUCCCGCAACGAGCGCAACCCUCGCCCCUAGUUGCCAGCGGGUCAUGCCGGGAACUCUAGGGGGACUGCCCCGGUUAACGGGGAGGAAGGUGGGGAUGACGUCAAGUCAUCAUGGCCUUUAUGCCCAGGGCUACACACGUGCUACAAUGGCCGGUACAAAGGGUUGCAAACCCGUGAGGGGGAGCCAAUCCCAAAAAGUCGGUCCCAGUUGGGAUCGCAGUCUGCAACUCGACUGCGUGAACGCGGAAUCGCUAGUAAUCGCGAAUCAGCAGGUCGCGGUGAAUACGUUCCCGGGUCCUGCACACACCGCCCGU
rnacentral:rRNA from 1 species